GACGAACGCUGGCGGCGUGCUUAACACAUGCAAGUCGAACGGAAAGGCCCCUUUGGGGGUACUCGAGUGGCGCACGGGUGAGUAACACGUGAGUAACCUGCCCUUGACUUCGGGAUAACUUCAGGAAACUGGGGCUAAUACCGGAUAGGAAUCCUUGCUGCAUGGUGGGGGUUGGAAAGCUUCGGCGGUUUUGGAUGGACUCGCGGCUUAUCAGCUUGUUGGUGGGGUAGUGGCUUACCAAGGCUUUGACGGGUAGCCGGCCUGAGAGGGCGACCGGCCACAUUGGGACUGAGAUACGGCCCAGACUCCUACGGGAGGCAGCAGUGGGGAAUAUUGAACAAUGGGCGGAAGCCUGAUGCAGCAACGCCGCGUGCGGGAUGACGGCCUUCGGGUUGUAAACCGAUUUCAGCAGGGGCGAAGCUUGUGGUGACGGUACCUGCAGAAGAAGCACCGGCUAACUACGUG
rnacentral:rRNA from 1 species